rnacentral:rRNA from 1 species
UACGAAGGGGGCUAGCGUUGCUCGGAAUCACUGGGCGUAAAGGGUGCGUAGGCGGGUCUUUAAGUCAGAGGUGAAAGCCUGGAGCUCAACUCCAGAACUGCCUUUGAUACUGGAGAUCUUGAGUUCGGGAGAGGUGAGUGGAACUGCGAGUGUAGAGGUGAAAUUCGUAGAUAUUCGCAAGAACACCAGUGGCGAAGGCGGCUCACUGGCCCGAUACUGACGCUGAGGCACGAAAGCGUGGGGAGCAAACAGG